rnacentral:rRNA from 1 species
UACGGAGGGUGCAAGCGUUUGUCCGGAUUUAUUGGGUUUAAAGGGUGCGUAGGUGCCCUGCAAGUCCGUGGUGAAAGCCUGCCGCUUAACGGGCAGAACUGCCAUGGAUACUACAGGGCUUUGAGUCCAGACGAGGUUGGCGGAAUGGAUGGUGUAGCGGUGAAAUGCAUAGAUACCAUCCAGAACCCCCGAUUGCGUAGGCAGCUGACUAGGCUGGUACUGACACUGGAGGCACGAAAAGCGUGGGGGAGCGAACAGG